rnacentral:lncRNA from 1 species
GUCGAAGCAAAGCUCCCUGGCUGUUAGCCGUUUGGGCCUUUUUAGAUCCAGACGUGUUCAUCCGGCCCCGUGCCUCGUCCACACCCACUUUCCCGCCGCCUGGCUGCCUGAGCACCUGAGACUGCGCACUUUGAAACUACCUCACGACCUCUCUGAUUUUUCAGCACGGGUCUUUUGUGCUUCCUCUUCGCUCUGGCCAGUGCCCAGGAACAGACCCCAUGCCAGGGCCACACAGGCAGGGAGGAAUAAGGCCUGGGCCUAUUCUCAAAGAGCUUGCCUUCCAUUGGAGAGGAACUGACCAGAACGCAGCAACGUCAAAGCAACACGGAUCCCCCGGCCUGAGGCCAGACUUGACGCAGACUCUCAGGGACAACAAGACAAAACCUGUUCUGAACUCGAGACGCUUGUAGCUCCCGGUGGAGCUGGGCAAGCACAUGGUGUGGCAAGUGGCACUGUCCAGGAAAACCAGUUACACGUGCAGUUUCCUGUCCGAGAAGUUGACAGUUUUAAACACUGCAGCUGAAGCAAUGGCCAGGGACCCUUCCUAAGACUGGAACACCACGUUGUCAUUGCCUCCGUGCUCUGAAGCUCAUUCCACUGUGAUUGUCUUGGGCCUUUCAAUGUUACUGAAUUUUCAGAGCUGAAAGUCACUUCACUGAUCGUGUUUAACCCUCUCUUUUGAUAG